AUUAAUAGGAAAGUUUGAUAUUGUGUAGUUAAGUUGUAAUUCUGAUUCACAUAAAACUCAUUGCAGGGCCUGUGGACGUGCUGAGAGAAUCAUUCGAUACUCCUUCUGUACUCCAGCUGCUGCCCACCGAACCUCAAGACGAACCUUCAGCCGUCAUUCUGCUGCUCGAUGCUGGUGAACUGAACAGCGCUUGCUGCGAUGUUCAGUUCGUGUCUGCAGACUCCUCAUCCUCCCAGUCUGAGGGAUUCCCUUAUUAUACCAGAUACGAGGAGAGUUUCACUGCCAUUCAGCUAAGUGAUUGUUCAUUGUGGCAUCAAAAAAUGUUAUUAAUUGCAGUGACUAAAUAGAGUUUGUGCGUUUUAAGGUUGUUGAGCCACAUCUUCAUUUGCUGCCCAACGAACAACAAGAAGACCCAUCACCUGUCCUUCUGCCACUCGAUGCUGGUGAGCUGAUCAGCGCUUGCCGAAACAUUCAGUUCCUCUCUGCAGAAACCUCCAUCUCCCAGUCUGAG